rfam:Rattus norvegicus chromosome 8, whole genome shotgun sequence.
GGGGAUUUGGCUCAGUGGUAGAGCGCUUGUCUAGGAAGAGCAAGGUCCUGGGUUCGGUCCCCAGCCCCG